CUCCCGGGCCCAGCCCCCAGGUCUGUUGAAGCACGUGGAGCGUAUGAUGCGGACUGUAUCGCGGCGUGUUUCACAAGACCUGACUGCUGUACGCGGGUCUCCACCCGUGCCUCACACCUCCUUACAAGUCCCUGUGUGUGUGCAGGAUGUCGGGGGCGGGUCGGUGAGAGCGUGCUUCUUCUCCUGCCUCAGACAGUACAGAGGACUCGCCUGAAAAACACAGCUGCCCUCUCUCCUUCCUGCUGUGGACACAGACUCUGCCCCUGAACCCAAGAAAGCUAUGAUCAAGCUGCCUGGUGGUCCACACCUAUAAACCCAACACUCCACAAGCUGAGGCAGGAGGAUCACAAGUUCUAGGACAAAGGCACCCUUGCCCUCAGAGGAAAGAGUCGCUGCAGGAUCCUGUCUGAGUUCUUGUCGGAUGUGAGGCAGAGGUGCGGUGGGGCUAAGCCCCUUCCUCCCAAUAGAUGUCUCCAUCUUUGUGUCCUCUUCCUCUGAGACCCCAUGAAAAUGGAUGUUGAUGAAUGAUUGUGGCUCCUCUGCAACUCGUCCCAGGCUCAAACCUUGAGAGCUGGGCCCCAAACCCAGAAGAGCCCUGUCCCUCAGAGAAUCUCCUGAGGCCCAAGCUCCUCAUGCUGAUCAAGUUCCCCAAAUGGUCUGGUCUGGUGGGAGCAGCUCUACGCCUGCAUCUGAGACUUCAGGAACUCUCUCUCUCAUGGAUGCUGCUUUCCGAUUGCUACGUGAGUCUCAGAGGGCUGGGGGGAUGCACACGCGUGAGGACCUGGGUAUCCACUCUACAAAAAGCCAAGCAUGGCAGUGUCAUCUAUCACCCCAGCACAGAAGACAAAAAAGCAGACCGGUGACCUCGAAUGUAAGAGUUCAAGUCUCUGCACCAGCAUCUCACGGGCUACAGUUAACCAGCAUGCGCUAUCACGCAUGACCAGAAGGCACACCUGUCUGUCGGGAGCCUCUGCGUGAGGUCCUGUCUUGUUAUAGCCACUCGUUCGUGUGGACUGAAGUCCCCUCUCACCCCCCUGCCAUCAGAGACUCAAGGAUUUCGUUUCUUCAAGAAUGAACUUCAGGUUCCAACCAAAGGCAAGAUGAUCGCUUGCCCUCUGGUGUCCCGUCUGUAACAACAGAGCCACCUGAUCCUCUCAUACUCUGUUGCCAGCCAUGGCAGCCAAGAUGCCCAACAUGCCUGGAAGUCAAGAGUGGCCUUCAGGAGUUUGCUGCACCUGGUCCAGCUACUGCCAAGGUCACAGAUGCACACUAACCUCUACACUCUUCCAGGAGGAGGCAUGUCCGGAAGCCCAGGGUGGCUUUCUGUAGCUGCUCCAGGACACUGCCUAGCCCCACCGCAGGUUGUUGACACGGUAGGAAGCACAGGGAUGGGAGAGGACCCAACUGCUGCCAAAGUAAACCCGGGGGCUACGCAGGCUCUCUUUGAUUUGAGGAGCUAUUUGUGGACCUGAGUACAUAUCUAUUCUUUAUCUCCCCUCCCCCCCCCCCCCGCCCUCACACACCCAGGGAAACACAGUGUGCCCUGGGAGACAAACCGGUGCUUGCUUAUUUCUCCGUGCUGUUUUUCACUGAAUACCCGGCAGGAAGCGAUGUUUGAAGAUAACACUUCGUCGAACUGCAUUUCCACCUGAGGGAAAGUUGUAAUACUAUAAAAGCAACGACUACCACAAGAAUGGGUUUUCAUUCUUCCAAGGAAACAGUUAAAAAAGAAAAAUCCCCAAAUGGCUGAGGUGACAGGACACCUAUUGUCAUCUGGAACUGGGGCGAUGGAGCCCUGGGUAAUCCCGAUCCAACGUAUAAACGAUGCCUCUGAGCCUGGCAUUCCCUUGGCUUUCUGACGCUGGAUGCUGUGUGCUGGUCAGAGCAGGUGCACACACAGGAGACAGGAGAUAGCUCCCAUUCCUCCAUGAAAUAAACACUGAAGGCCUUGUUCUGUGCUGAGCCGUCUGCUAGACCAUAGAGACACAGUCCCCACCCUCACCCUUGAGACCGACGGUCUUUGCUCCACCAGAGUCUGAAUCCCAUGGGGCUGAGCAUAAAGGAUGACAGGUGCUGAAGGAUCCCAGAAUACAUGGGAUACACUGGACUGAGAGGUCAGGAGACACGAUAGGGAUAAGGACCAGCCUGUGAGGGAGGGUGAGCGUUCUGUAACUGGCUAUUGUCAGAGACCAAGGAAGGGGCAAGUUGCAGGGCAUCUGAGGGUGGAGACUCCCAGGAAAAGGUAAGAAGCUGGAGACCCAGCCUGGUGGAGCAGGGUGAGGCAGUUGGAAGUGAGGAUGCCAUGAGGGGUGAUGUUUUUAGAGUGGGCACCACCGAGGCCCCAGCCGAGGCUGAAGACCCUUCUAAGGACACCUCUCCACAGCCAGGUGGGGUGUCCAGAAACGCAGCUGAGUCCCUGAGAGUUGAGCAUGGCAGCCAUUUUUCCAGAGACACAGUGGAAGGCACCCAACAGAGGGGUGUCUGGCAGCAGUGAGGCGGGGAUGAAUGUCUCACCUUUCAAGGCCUCUCCCUUUAUACCACAUCCCUUUGUGGCAGUGAAGAGAUAGAAUCUAUGGUGAGUACUGUGACGCUCCUCAGAGAUACCCGUGUCUAAGCCUUUGACCCCAUGGAUAUGUGACCUGGCCUCAGGGACUCUGCCCUGGGAUUAAAGACAUGGUUAUGGAGCUGUGCAUGAUCCUGGGCUAUGCACGGACACCAGGUAACCAUGAGGGGUCUUCCUGAGGCAGCCAGGCCAGACCGCAGGAGGAGAGGUAACUAUGAGAGCACAGAGUGAGGGAAAAGGCAGUCUGUGGCAGUAAGCCAGCAGUGGGGGGAUGGACGGGCCAGCCUGAGGCCUCUAGAAGGAAGCAGCCUUGCCCACACCUUGACUGUAGCCCGGGUUUUCCUGAAAUCUAAGGAUGCACUCUCUAAGCCCCAAGCCCUCCAUGAUGUGUUCCAGGGAUCACGGGUUUGACACGGAAGAAGAGGAUAUUGGUCCCACCCUCUGUGCUGCUGAGGACUCUGGGUGGCCCUAGCAAUGUGCCACAGACGACUUCCACGUGCAGAACAGGAGCCGAGAGGCAGACAAGACAAUCCAUGUGGGCAGGUUUUUGGUUUUUAAUUUGUCCAGUUUUUGGUUUUGGAUUUUUAUUUAUAUUUUGUUGAGGCAGGGUCUCACUACGUAGCCCUGGCUAUCCCGGAACUCACUAUGUAUACCAGGCUGGCCUCGAUCUCACAGAGAUCCACCCAUUCUGCCUCCCCGGUAGUGGAAUUAAAGGCAUGAGCUACCACA